UUGACGGUACCCUACUAGAAAGGAGCCGCUAACUUCGUGCCAGAAGCGUCGGUAAUACGGGGGCUCCAAGCGUUAUCCGGUGUUAUUGGGCGUAAAGAGUCGUGUAGGUGGUUGGGUAAGUUAUCUUUCAAAUAUCUUUGCUUAACAAAGAGGAGGGGGAUAAUACUGCUCGACUAGAAUUUUCUCAAGGGAGAUCGGAACUGAGGGAGGAGUAGUGAAAUGCGUUGAUACCCUCGGGAACACCAGUGGCGUAGGCGGAUCUCUGGGAGAAGAUUGACACUGAGACACGAAAGCUAGGGGAGCGAAGCAGAUUAGAGACCUGCGUAGUCCUAGCCGUAAACGCAUGCUUGCUAGCUGCAUGAAUCUACCUUCGGGUGGUAUCGUGUGGCGAAGGUAACCCGUUAAGCAAGCCGCCUGGAAAGUACGGCCGCAAGGCUGAAAUUCAAAGGAAUUGGCGGGGAGGCACACAACCAGUGGAACAUGUGGUUUAAUUCGAGACUAACCGAAGAACCUCACCAGGGUUUGACAUGUAGCUGCACGUCUUAAGAAAUUAAGACUCUCUUGAAGGUGCUACACAGGUGCUGCAUGGCUGUCGUCAGCUCGUUCCGUGGGGAGUGCCCUUAAGUGGGACAACGAGCGCAACCCCUAUUACAUGUUAGAAAUGUCAUGUAAGACUGCCUUGCCAUUUGGCGGGGAGGAAGGAGGGGCAGACGUCAAGUCCGCAUGGUCCUUAUGCCCUGGGCUACACACAUGUUACAAUGAGUGCGGCAAUGAGUCUGUCGCGAGCACGUAAGUGUAAGCUAAUCUCUUAAAUGUACUCUCAGUGGGGAUUGAGGUCUGCAACUCGACCUCAUGAACACGGAAUUGGUAGUAAUCGCGGGUCAGCUAUACCGCGGUGAAUACGUUCUUGCCUCUUGCACACACCGCCCGUCAAACCAGCAAAGU
rnacentral:rRNA from 1 species